rnacentral:tRNA from 1 species
GCGCCCGUAGCUCAGGGGAUAGAGCAUCUGUCUUCUAAACAGAAUGUCGCAGGUUCAAGUCCUGCCGGGCGCG